UACGUAGGGAGCAAGCGUUGUCCGGAAUCAUUGGGCGUAAAGCGCGCGUAGGUGGCUUCGUAAGUCCGUUGUGAAAGUCAAAGGCUCAACCUUUGAAAGCCGAUGGAUACUGCGGAGCUAGAGUACGGAAGAGGCGAGUGGAAUUCCUGGCGUAGCGGUGAAAUGCGUAGAUAUCUGGAGGAACACCGGUGGCGAAGGCGGCAUCCUGGACCGGUAUUGACGCUGAGGCGCGGAAAGCCAGGGGAGCAAAGCGGG
rnacentral:rRNA from 1 species